AAUAUUUGACAAUGGGGGCAACCCUGAUCCAGCCAUGCCGCGUGUGUGAAGAAGGUCUUCGGCUUGUAAAGCACUUUAAGUUGGGAGGAAGGGCUUUAGUCUAAUACCCUGAAGUUUGGACGUUACCAUCAGAAUAAUCACCGUCUAACUCUGUUCCCGCAGCCGCGGUAAUAACGAGGGUGCAAGCGUCAAUCGGAAUUACUGGGCGUAAAGCGCGCGUAGGUGGUUCAGUAAGAUGGGUGUGAAAUCCCCGGGCUUAACCUGGGAACUGCUUUCAUAACUGCUGAGCUAGAGUACGGUAGAGGGUAGUGGAAUUUCCUGUGUAGCGGUGAAAUGCGUAGAUAUAGGAAGGAACACCAGUGGCGAAGGCGACUACCUGGACUGAUACUGACACUGAGGUGCGAAAGCGUGGGGAGCAAAC
rnacentral:rRNA from 1 species